UACCAACACCCCGAGUGUUCGGGACGUUUAUUGGGCCUAAAGCAUCCGUAGCCGGUUCUACAAGUCUUCCGUUAAAUCCACCUGCUCAACAGAUGGGCUGCGGAAGAUACUAUAGAGCUAGGAGGCGGGAGAGGCAAGCGGUACUCGAUGGGUAGGGGUAAAAUCCGUUGAUCCAUUGAAGACCACCAGUGGCGAAGGCGGCUUGCCAGAACGCGCUCGACGGUGAGGGAUGAAAGCUGGGGGAGCAAACCGG
rnacentral:rRNA from 1 species